rnacentral:rRNA from 1 species
UACAGAGGUCUCAAGCGUUGUUCGGAUUCAUUGGGCGUAAAGGGUGCGUAGGCGGCGCGGUAAGUCGGGUGUGAAAUCUCGGAGCUUAACUCCGAAACUGCAUUCGAUACUGCCGUGCUUGAGGACUGGAGAGGAGACUGGAAUUUACGGUGUAGCGGUGAAAUUCGUAGAUAUUCGCAAGAACACCAGUGGCGAAGGCGGCUCACUGGCCCGGAACUGACGCUGAGACGCGAAAGCGUGGGGAGCAAACAGG